rnacentral:rRNA from 1 species
GGUCAAGUUAUUAAGGGAUUACGGUGGAUGCCUUGGGUCCAAGAGCCGAAGAAGGGCGUGGUAAGACUGCGAAAAGCCUCGGCUAGCUGUCUAACGAGCUUAACCGGGGAUACCCGAAUGGGGAAACCCGU